CCUACGGGGAGCAGCAGUGAGGAAUAUUGGUCAAUGGACGAGAGUCUGAACCAGCCAAGUAGCGUGAAGGAUGACUGCCCUAUGGGUUGUAAACUUCUUUUAUAUGGGAAUAAAACGUUCCACGUGUGGGAUUUUGUAUGUACCAUAUGAAUAAGGAUCGGCUAACUCCGUGCCAGCAGCCGCGGUAAUACGGAGGAUCCGAGCGUUAUCCGGAUUUAUUGGGUUUAAAGGGAGCGUAGGUGGAUUGUUAAGUCAGUUGUGAAAGUUUGCGGCUCAACCGUAAAAUUGCAGUUGAAACUGGCAGUCUUGAGUACAGUAGAGGUGGACGGAAUUCGUGGUGUAGCGGUGAAAUGCUUAGAUAUCACGAAGAACUCCGAUUGCGAAGGCAGUUCACUGGACUGCAACUGACACUGAGGCUCGAAAGUGUGGGUAUCAAACAGGAUUAGAUACCCCUGUAGUC
rnacentral:rRNA from 1 species